rnacentral:rRNA from 1 species
GACGGAGGAUGCAAGCGUUAUCCGGAAUGAUUGGGCGUAAAGCGUCCGCAGGUGGCAGUUCAAGUCUGCUGUGAAAGACCGGGGCUUAACUUCGGAAAGGCAGUGGAAACUGAACAGCUAGAGUAUGGUAGGGGCAGAGGGAAUUCCUGGUGUAGCGGUGAAAUGCGUAGAGAUCAGGAAGAACAUCGGUGGCGAAGGCGCUCUGCUGGACCAUAACUGACACUCAGGGACGAAAGCUAGGGGAGCGAAUGGG